rnacentral:misc_RNA from 1 species
CUUUCGACGUGUAACGGUGUACAAGGAGAGGACACGAUUCAUAAUAACGGGUCGAUUCAAUUGAAUGUCAUCCGCUAUUUUCCAAAGUCGUCGUCGUCGGAUGACCAAACGAACGCUGACUUGGAGUAUGGGUUGGAAAGCUGCUUUUUCCGUGGGCCUUCCUUCUUCUUCUCCUUGAACAAGGGAGGAUGGCAUACCUUGUCGGUUCUGACCUUGGAUAAGCCUGUAUUUAAAAUAGAGGUUGCAACAAUUACCUCUUUACUCUUUCCUGACAGAUGAUGAAGUUCCAGCACCAUGUUCUGAUGGUAUUGUUUCAGACGUUGAAGUGCAGGGUAAAGGAUUACCGCAAGCUGAAUUUUGGCAUUGAGAACCGUCGCUGUCAUCUGAGAUGACUAUCGUGUGACUUCUCUUCCCAGAUGCGAUAGGCACUGAAAGCUUUCGGCUUGGGUUGGGGUUCUGCGGCAGCUGUCGACUUUCGUUGGAAUUCUGCACAAGUUGACUUGGGUUGCAGUUCAGUGGCAGCUUUCCACUUCAGUUGCGGUUUUCUUAUUUGGAACUGAAAUUAUAAUAUUAUAUUAAAAUACGUGUACUUUGCAUGUAUUCAUUUAUUAAAUAUAUUUACGUUAGCCAUUACUUUAACAUUUACCUUUCCUUCUUGCAGACCUUCGCACUGCCACUCCCUUCAAGCUGGAAUCUGAUUCACUAACUUCUAAAAGUUGAAUAAAGGUUUCAAAUGCUGAUGGGAUGACGAUAUGUCGCAUGCGUGAACAUCUGUUGUAAAAGAAAAAUUACCAGUAAGGGUGUUGUCCGCUUCACUGGAAUCAUCUGAGCCAGAAAACAUGGCAUGCAUCAAUGCACCAAAACUGUCCGACAUCCUGGCCCGCCUUUCUUUCAAUUCCAUGGAGGACAACUCUCUGUUUGGUGGAAUGGAGGAGGAUGUGGUGUCACUUGUAAUGACAGGAAUGUCAUCAUGAUCUACAUCCGAUGUUGAAGACUCUGUUUCCGCAUCUGUAUUUUCUAAAAAUUUAAAAGGAAAUGUGUCAAUCAAACAGCCUGUUAUGAAAAACCCAUUAUUUGAAGGAAUUUGGAAGCAAAACAUUGCAAGAAAUAUACCUGGCUUUAUUUCCCAAUAAGUAAGUUGGGAAUCUGAAGCCUCUAGUAUACCUGUCCACGUUUCGAAAAGGGGUGUUGUGUAAUGGUACACAGGUGGCCCAGUGAGUGUGUAUAUGCUUCUUAGUUGGUCAAAGAAACAUGAGUAAAUGUUGGUCUUCACAUCUGCCCUCCACAUGAUCUCAGCCAAAUGACCCUCAAAUUGAGUUAAUUUUGUUCCGGCCAUUUUCCUAAAGUGAUCCUUGGCAUGUUUCCACGCACCCUCAAUCCUGUUAGUGUGAACUUCCACCUCUUCCUUUGUUUCCUUGUUGACAUACGUUUCUUGAAGGAGUAUUUGUGCAAAACGGUGAAAUGUUGAUAGCCGAGAUCAUUUAGAGGGCAGUAUGCGGACCAACCGUCACUGUAAACGCACGACCCCUUUUAAACGUGUCUCUCUAUGAUGGGAAGGAGUGUACCCUCAGUUCGAUCGGACACAGGAUAUAAAAGGAGCCUAUUCGAUUCCCUCUCGACUAAUCCAAAAAUCCAUAUCUGGAGAAAAUGUAAAUCCUUUGUUAAUUAGACUUCAAUGUAAAUAAUAUAGGAUGCUUGCAAUAAAUAACUUAAAGUAAAAUAUGUACAUGUUAAGCAAAUGAAAUUCAAAAAUCUUAACUUGCCUUCAAUCCUCUGUUUGGGUUGCCUUUGAUAUUUAACCCGUCGGCCAAAUAAGGACUCGUCUAUUUCCACAAUACCCUGCAAUUUAACAUUUCUUAGGGUAUUGUUGAAAUAUUCUUUAAACACUUCCCUCAUAAAACUUGCCCAAUUUACGGCGGUAGAUCUGUAUGCCAUGCCAAUAAAUCGUGCACAUUGCGCCAAACUGUUCUUCUCCAGAUAAGAUUUGAUGAAUAAAAUUAUGUCUUGUACACAAAACGUACACAAAAGCACAUAUUAGAAUUCGCUGCCAAUGACGGAGAAAACUGGUCCAAAAUAAACGUCGAAUAAGAAAAGGCCAUUCCUUCGCUGGUCCUAUUAUGUCUUGUAUCGCCAUCCAAUGUUCGUAAAUUUCCCUACUUCUUGACGCCAUGUUUAAGAGUAAUUGAUGAAAAGGAAUACUGUGCACGCACGAUUUGUUUUCCCGCUUUAUAUGUUGAGGGGGGAGGGAUAGUAAAGUUAACUUUGUUAUAAUUUGUCGAAUAUAUAUCAAUUUUUUUUUAUAUUUGUGUGUUUCUCUGUGUUGUCCAUUACGGUAUUUAAAGUUUAACAACAGUAAUAUUAUGUUUUGUAAUGAUGUAAUACGGAAUAAAGGUAAAAUAUUAAUAUU